AGAACGAACGCUGGCGGCAUGCCUAAUACAUGCAAGUCGAACGAACUCUUCGGAGUUAGUGGCGCACGGGUGCGUAACGCGUGGGAAUCUGCCCCUUGGUUCGGAAUAACAGUUGGAAACGACUGCUAAUACCGGAUGAUGACGAAAGUCCAAAGAUUUAUCGCCAAGGGAUGAGCCCGCGUAGGAUUAGCUAGUUGGUGAGGUAAAGGCUCACCAAGGCGACGAUCCUUAGCUGGUCUGAGAGGAUGAUCAGCCACACUGGGACUGAGACACGCCCAGACUCCUACGGGAGGCAGCAGUGGGAAUAAUUGCACAAUGGGCGAAAGCCUGAUGCAGCGACGCCGCGUGAGGGAGUGAAGGCCGUUACGGUUAGUAAACCUCUUUCGAGCGAGGACGAAGCGCAAGUGACGUACUGACAGAAGAAG
rnacentral:rRNA from 1 species